rnacentral:tRNA from 1 species
GCGGGCGUGGCGAAAUCGGCAGCCGCGGGGGCCUUAAACGCCUCUGGCCGCAAGGCCGUGUGGGUUCGAGUCCCACCGCCCGCA